GCGGCAGUAGCUCAGUUGGUAGAGCGCAACCUUGCCAAGGUUGAGGUCGCGAGUUCGAGCCUCGUCGUCCGCU
rnacentral:tRNA from 1 species